rnacentral:rRNA from 1 species
ACGAACGCUGGCGGCGUGCUUAACACAUGCAAGUCGAACGAUGAUCCCCAGCUUGCUGGGGUGAUUAGUGGCGAACGGGUGAGUAACACGUGAGUAACCUGCCCUUGACUCUGGGAUAAGCGUUGGAAACGACGUCUAAUACCGGAUACGACCAGCCCCGGCAUCGGGUGUUGGUGGAAAGAAUUUUGGUCAAGGAUGGACUCGCGGCCUAUCAGGUAGUUGGUGAGGUAAUGGCUCACCAAGCCUACGACGGGUAGCCG